UCUUUUCUUUUGAUAGGAGAGUUUUUAAAACCAGUGUUAUUUUUGUAAGUUUAAGAGAAGUUUGUGUAUUGAAUUUUUAAUAUUAAAGAGCUUUGUUAAACUUAGACUUAAGUUUAGGUCAUUUUGGGGGUUUAGCUCAGUUGGCUAGAGCAUCGGCUUUGCAAGCCGAGGGUCAAGGGUUCGAGUCCCUUAACCUCCAUUGGGCUUAUGUCCUAAAUUGUAAUUAAGUAUGUUUUUAAGCAACUUUAUUAAAGUAAUUGUUGGAAUGUGAAACAGAGGAAGUUAAAAUUUCUGGGUUAAGUUGAGAUCUGUUGAUAUUAAGAAGAAUCUCUAGAAGCAAAAGCAAGCUUUCGAUAAAAUCCGAAGUUGUUUCGCUAAAGUGCAAGGAUUAAACAGGAUUGUAUUUUCCAGUAGCCUAUUUUAUAAACGAUCUGCAUUUAGUAAAUAGUUUUUAGUUAGGAAAUAAUGUAUAUUGCUAAGUGUGAUGUC
rnacentral:misc_RNA from 1 species